rnacentral:rRNA from 1 species
AUGGUGCGGACGCCUGGCCGUUCCUGCAAGGUUAAGGGGAUCGGGUCAAUCAAACGAGGCAGUGAUCUUACUUCCCUGUAAUCGGCGGCCGUAACUAUAACGGUCCUAAGAUAGCGAACUUGCUGGUCGGGAAAGUUCCUACCCGCACGAAAGGCGUAACGAUUUGGGCACUGUCUCAACAACAGACUCGGUGACAUUGUAAUUCCGGUGAAGAUGCCUGAUACCUGCGACAGGACGGAAAGACCCCAUGGAGCUUUACUGUAGCUUGACAUUGGGUCUUGGUACUACAUGUACAGGAUAGGUGUGAGUCUUGGAAACCAGGAGGCCAGUUUUGGCGGAGCCAUCCUUGGGAUACCACCCUUGUAGUAUUGGGACGCGAACCAUGGGCCAUGAAUCUGGUCUUGGGACACUGUCAGGUGGGCAGUUUGAC